GUUGUGACAAUAUAUGAAAAUUCCUAAAUGGCUGCCAUUGUCAUGGAAACAUGGCAAAAGUUUAACAUUGGCCUUAUGGAAAAACACAUUGAAGCUGUAUUUCCUGCAAGAAUAUUAAAUCAAACCUUCUACAACUUAAUGCAUAUAUAACACGACAUGUCCCAAAGUGGCACCUGUCUUUGGAAUUUUGGAAAUGGUACCCGUUACCAUGGAAAUAGCAAAAAUUUCAAAAAUUUCAAAAUG
rnacentral:lncRNA from 1 species